rnacentral:rRNA from 1 species
GCCUGCCCAGUGAUUUAAUUCAACGGCCGCGGUAUCCUAACCGUGCGAAGGUAGCGUAAUCACUUGUCUCUUAAAUAGAGACCUGUAUCAAUGGCAUCACGAAGGUUAUACUGUCUCCCUACUCCAAUCAGUGAAACUGAUCUUCCUGUGAAAAAGCAGGAAUACUUUUAUAAGACGAGAAGACCCCAUGGAGCUUUAAGCCCAGUAACAAUCUCACAUCUAUAGUUCCUUAAACUUCAAGAGAAUCUGCCCGCUGGCUUUAGGUUGGGGCGACCACGAAGUAUAAUUUAGCCUUCAUGACGAAUGGAAUUUUUUCCUUAUCUUAGAGCUACCGCUCCAAGAAUUAAUAAUUUAAUGUAAUAUGAUCCGAUUUAUUCGAUCAACGGACCAAGUUACCCUGGGGAUAACAGCGCAAUCCAUUUCAAGAGUUCCUAUCGACAAAUGGGUUUACGACCUCGAUGUUGGAUCAGGGUAUCCUAGUGGUGCAGCCGCUACUAAUGGUUCGUUUGUCAACGAUAAAAACU